rnacentral:rRNA from 1 species
UACGUAGGGUGCAAGCGUUAAUCGGAAUUACUGGGCGUAAAGCGUGCGCAGGCGGUUGUGCAAGACAGAUGUGAAAUCCCCGGGCUCAACCUGGGAACUGCAUUUGUGACUGCACGGCUGGAGUGCGGCAGAGGGGGAUGGAAUUCCGCGUGUAGCAGUGAAAUGCGUAGAUAUCUGGAGGAACACCGGUGGCGAAGGCGGCAUCCUGGACCAACACUGACGCUGAGUGAGCGAAAGCCAGGGGAGCAAACGGG